AAAUUGAAGAGUUUGAUCAUGGCUCAGAUUGAACGCUGGCGGCAGGCCUAACACAUGCAAGUCGAGCGGUAGCACAGAGAGCUUGCUCUCGGGUGACGAGCGGCGGACGGGUGAGUAAUGUCUGGGAAACUGCCUGAUGGAGGGGGAUAACUACUGGAAACGGUAGCUAAUACCGCAUAAUGUCGCAAGACCAAAGUGGGGGACCUUCGGGCCUCAUGCCAUCAGAUGUGCCCAGAUGGGAUUAGCUAGUAGGUGGGGUAACGGCUCACCUAGGCGACGAUCCCUAGCUGGUCUGAGAGGAUGACCAGCCACACUGGAACUGAGACACGGUCCAGACUCCUACGGGAGGCAGCAGUGGGGAAUAUUGCACAAUGGGCGCAAGCCUGAUGCAGCCAUGCCGCGUGUGUGAAGAAGGCCUUCGGGUUGUAAAGCACUUUCAGCGGGGAGGAAGGCGUUAAGGUUAAUAACCUUGGCGAUUGACGUUACCCGCAGAAGAAGCACCGGCUAACUCCGUGCCAGCAGCCGCGGUAAUACGGAGGGUGCAAGCGUUAAUCGGAAUUACUGGGCGUAAAGCGCACGCAGGCGGUCUGUCAAGUCGGAUGUGAAAUCCCCGGGCUCAACCUGGGAACUGCAUUCGAAACUGGCAGGCUAGAGUCUUGUAGAGGGGGGUAGAAUUCCAGGUGUAGCGGUGAAAUGCGUAGAGAUCUGGAGGAAUACCGGUGGCGAAGGCGGCCCCCUGGACAAAGACUGACGCUCAGGUGCGAAAGCGUGGGGAGCAAACAGGAUUAGAUACCCUGGUAGUCCACGCCGUAAACGAUGUCGAUUUGGAGGUUGUGCCCUUGAGGCGUGGCUUCCGGAGCUAACGCGUUAAAUCGACCGCCUGGGGAGUACGGCCGCAAGGUUAAAACUCAAAUGAAUUGACGGGGGCCCGCACAAGCGGUGGAGCAUGUGGUUUAAUUCGAUGCAACGCGAAGAACCUUACCUGGUCUUGACAUCCACAGAACUUUCCAGAGAUGGAUUGGUGCCUUCGGGAACUGUGAGACAGGUGCUGCAUGGCUGUCGUCAGCUCGUGUUGUGAAAUGUUGGGUUAAGUCCCGCAACGAGCGCAACCCUUAUCCUUUGUUGCCAGCGGUCCGGCCGGGAACUCAAAGGAGACUGCCAGUGAUAAACUGGAGGAAGGUGGGGAUGACGUCAAGUCAUCAUGGCCCUUACGACCGGGCUACACACGUGCUACAAUGGCAUAUACAAAGAGAAGCGACCUCGCGAGAGCAAGCGGACCUCAUAAAGUAUGUCGUAGUCCGGAUUGAGUCUGCAACUCGACUCCAUGAAGUCGGAAUCGCUAGUAAUCGUAGAUCAGAAUGCUACGGUGAAUACGUUCCCGGGCCUUGUACACACCGCCCGUCACACCAUGGGAGUGGGUUGCAAAAGAAGUAGGUAGCUUAACCUUCGGGAGGGCGCUUACCACUUUGUGAUUCAUGACUGGGGUGAAGUCGUAACAAGGUAACCGUAGGGGAACCUGCGGUUGGAUCACCUCCUUACCUUAAAGAA
rnacentral:rRNA from 1 species